UCUGGGCUCUUCGACCCGGAUUCUCGACCCACUAACCUGCAAAGGAGAUCCGACGGAAUCUCCUCGUCCGGCCACCUCACGACGGCGCACCGGCACCUAUUGCUUCCUCUCCCGGUAGCCGAAGUCUUUCUGGGGUCAGAUCGUUCAGCCGGCAGCUCUGGGAAGAGAGUCGACGCCGUGAAGCUCUGAGUUAUCCGGCGAUUCUUCGGCUGUUUCCGGCAACGGAAUGAUCUGCAUGAGUGUUCACGACAACACUCCUAGCGUUUCUGGGUUGAUCUCCGACGUCUAUGGGCAUGGAUUAAUGUCUCCUAGAGCUCGAUUCAUUAGGAACCUUGAAUUGACGAGAAAUUUCCCUGUGGUUCGAAAGAAGGGAGUGACUAACUCGGGAGCUCGAUGCUCAAUCUACAAAUCGUAUUGAACCUGUCAAAGAAAUUAGGACUCCUGUUACCCGAGGAACGGAAGGUUGGUGAAUUCCGGACAACGCAAAAUGGUAAAGCUUCGAAAUCCAGUGUGGUUGCAGGUGCUGUGCACUGGUAACGGGAUUGUAGCGGACGGAGCUGGGUGUGCAGGAUUCAAUAACUCUUCGUAACGAAAAUCAAGUUCCGGAUGUUACUCUCGAUCUUUAUUUCUUGAUCCAUGCUAUUUCGGAACUUCUUGUUGAAUUUUCAUUGUGUUGUUAAGUGUAUUAUUCCUCGACUAUUCGAAAAUGACAAGUUCUAGACGAACAAAGUGAUUUUGUAAUUUCAAGAUGUUUUCACCUCAAAAGUAUUUCAAAUC